AAAAUUAGAAAGACCAAGGCACCAAACGAGCUCAAAUUAGCUAGAGACAUAGAGGGUAACAAGGAAACAUUCCACAAAUACAUUAGAAGCAAGAGGAAGACCAAGGACAGGGUAGGCCUUUCAGGGGGAAGGAGGAGGAA